rnacentral:rRNA from 1 species
GACGAACGCUGGCGGCGUGCCUAAUACAUGCAAGUAGAACGCUGAAGAGAGGAGCUUACUCUUCUUGGAUGAGUUGCGAACGGGUGAGUAACGCGUAGGUAACCUGCCUUGUAGCGGGGGAUAACUAUUGGAAACGAUAGCUAAUACCGCAUAACAAUGGAUGACACAUGUCAUUUAUUUGAAAGGGGCAAUUGCUCCACUACAAGAUGGACCUGCGUUGUAUUAGCUAGUAGGUGAGGUAAUGGCUCACCUAGGCGACGAUACAUAGCCGACCUGAGAGGGUGAUCGGCCACACUGGGACUGAGACACGGCCCAGACUCCUACGGGAGGCAGCAGUAGGGAAUCUUCGGCAAUGGGGGCAACCCUGACCGAGCAACGCCGCGUGAGUGAAGAAGGUUUUCGGAUCGUAAAGCUCUGUUGUAAGCCAAGAACGGGUGUGAGAGUGGAAAGUUCACACUGUGACGGUAGCUUACCAGAAAGGGACGGCUAACUACG